rnacentral:rRNA from 1 species
CCUACGGGAGACAGCAGUGAGGAAUAUUGGUCAAUGGACGCAAGGCUGAACCAGCCAUGCCGCGUGCAGGAUGAAGGCUCUAUGCUUUGUAAACUUCUUUUGUACGGGGAUAAUAGCAGACACGUGUGGCUGCUUGCAUGUACCUUACGAAUAAGCAUCGGCUAACUCCGUGCCAGCAGCCGCGGUAAUACGGAGGAUGCGAGCGUUAUCCGGAUUUAUUGGGUUUAAAGGGUGCGUAGGCUGUUUUUUAAGUUAGCGGUGAAAAUUCGGGGCUCAACCCCGGACUUGCCGUUGAAACUGGAGGACUUGAGAGUGGAUGAGGUAGGCGGAAUGUGUGGUGUAGCGGUGAAAUGCGUAGAUAUCACGCAGAACACCGAUUGCGAAGGCAGCUUACCAAGCUAUAACUGACGCUGAGGCACGAAAGCGUGGGGAGCAAACAGGAUUAGAUACCCUAGUAGUC